UACAGGGGGGGCAAGCGUUGUUCGGAAUUACUGGGCGUAAAGGGCUCGUAGGCGGCCAACUAAGUCCGACGUGAAAUCCCAAAGCUUAACUUUGGAACUGCGUCGGAUACUGGAUGGCUUGAAUUCGGGAGAGGGAUGCAGAAUUCCAGGUGUAGCGGUGAAAUGCGUAGAUAUCUGGAGGAACACCGGUGGCGAAGGCGGCAUCCUGGACCGGCAUUGACGCUAAGGCGCGAAAGCUAGGGGAGCAAACGGG
rnacentral:rRNA from 1 species